rnacentral:rRNA from 1 species
GAUGAAUGCUGGCGGCGUGCUUAACACAUGCAAGUCGAGCGGAAAGGCCCUUCGGGGUACUCGAGCGGCGGACGGCUGAGUAACGCGUGGGAACAUGCCCCAAAGUGAGGAAUAACUGCCCGAAAGGGUGGCUAAUGCCGCAUAUGAUCUUCGGAUUAAAGGAUUUAUCCGCUGUGGGAGUGGCCUGCGUAUGAUUAGGUAGUUGGUGAGGUAAUGGAUCACCAAGCCGACGAUCAUUAGCUGGUCUGAGAGGAUGACCAGCCAGACUGGAACUGAGACACGGUCCAGACUCCUACGGGAGGCAGCAGUGAGGAAUAUUCCACAAUGGGCGAAAGCCUGAUGGAGCAACGCCGCGUGAAGGAUGAAGGCCCUCGGGUUGUAAACUUCUUUUAUAAGUGAAGAAUAUGACGGUAACUUAUGAAUAAGCACCGGCUAACUACGUGCCAGCCGCCGCCGUA